rnacentral:sRNA from 1 species
GCAGCCAAGCGUUCAUAGCGACGUU